rnacentral:rRNA from 1 species
UUGAAAGGGAAACGAUUGAAGUCAGUCGUACCGACGAGAAAUCAACUUAUCGUGUGCGAACUUGUGGGCGUGCGUGAGUUUCGGCCUCGCUGUUUGCAUGUUUGUGCGUUUUGGGUGUACUUUUUCGUAUGGUAGGCCAACAUCAGUUUCGAUUACUAUAAAAUGACCGGCGGAAUGUAGCUUCGAUUUCGGUUGAAGUGUUAUAGCCUCUGGUAGAUGUGGUGAUUGGGACUGAGGAUUGCAACGAAUACCCUUUGGGCUAUCCGUCUGACCUCUGAAAGUUGCUUAGGUGCCGAAAGCUUGCUUACGGUCAUUUAAGUUGACGGUCAAUAGGUUAGAACGUGAUUACAUUCGUUAAGGAUGUUGACGUA